AUUGAACGCUGGCGGCAGGCCUAACACAUGCAAGUCGAGCGAGCGGCGGACGGGUGAGUAAUGUAUGGGCAACUGCCUGAUGGAGGGGGAAAACUACUGGAAACGGUGGCUAAUACCGCAUACUAUGAGAUGGGCCCAGAUGGGAUUAGCUAGUAGGGGGGGUAAAGGCUCACCUAGGCGACGAUCCCUAGCUGGUCUGAGAGGCUGACCGGCCACACUGGGACUGAGACACGGUCCAGACUCCUACGGGAGGCAGCAGUGGGGAAUAUUGCACAAUGGGCGCAAGCCUGAUGCAGCCAUGCCGCGUGUGUGAAGAAGGCCUUCGGGUUGUAAAGCACUUUCAGCGGGGAGGCGUUACCCACAGAGGAAGCACCGGCUAACUCCGUGCCAGCAGCCGCGGUAAUUC
rnacentral:rRNA from 1 species